rnacentral:rRNA from 1 species
CCUACGGGUGGCAGCAGUGAGGAAUAUUGGUCAAUGGCCGGAAGGCUGAACCAGCCAAGCCGCGUGAAGGACGAAGGUGCCAAGCAUUGUAAACUUCUUUUGUCAAGGGACAAAAUCAGGCUCGAGAGCCUGACCGAGGGUAAUUGAAGAAAAAGCAUCGGCUAACUCCGUGCCAGCCGCCGCGGUAAUACGGAGGCUGCGAGCGUUAGCAGGAUUUAUUGGGUUUAACGGGUGCGUAGGCGGACUGUUAAGUCAGCGGUAAAAGCCCGGGGCGCAACCCCGGCGAGCCGUUGAAACUGGCUGUCGUGAGAUGUCGAGGGGUAUGCGGAAUGCGCAGGGUAGCGGUGAAAUGCUUAGUUAUUGCGCAGAACUCCGAUUGCGAAGGCAGCAUACCGGCGGCGAUCUGACGCUGAGGCACGAAAGCGUGGGUAUCGAACAGGAUUAGAUACCCUUGUAGGC